rnacentral:lncRNA from 1 species
GGAACCCGGCCGACAGAAGAUGGCGGAUGAGCAGCGUGCAGGGUUUUCUCCCUGUGGCUCACUCUCUCUUACUGUGCUGGGCGGUUGCUUCCUCUCCUGCUGCCCUUGGGAGUCAGACUCCAGGUUCUUCAGCCUGUGGCCCCUGGGGCUCUCGGGCCUUGGAGGACUGACUAGGAGCACACGGUGGGCCUCUCUGGUUUGGGGGCCUGGGACGUGGCGGAGCCCUGCAGCUUCUGUGCGGCCUGUUCUGGGCGUCGCGUUGAAACGCCAGCCAGUUCCCCAACAGAAAGAGCAUACGGGAGAGAUGAAGCAGUCCACUCCAAGAACAUUCUCAUCCUACGGAUUACGAGUCCCCCUGGGAUUACAGGAGUGUUGAAGAAAUGUUGUGACACAUCAGAACACCGCGAAAUACAUGGACACUUUCAAAUCAUGGAAGACUCAAGCCCACCAGGUAUUUUUGAAAAAAGUACUCUGUGAAAAACAGAAACUGCAAGCAAGACAGAUACCAGGAUUAGGGAUCACGGUGACUUCUACCAUCGCUGGAUACUCCCAAAAGGGUUCUCGAGACAGCAGCUGUGUCUGCCCUGCUUUGGCAUUCUUUCCCAGGCAUGGCGACCGUAAGUCAAAAUGUAAUCCUUAGCUGGUCAUACAAGCCCUGUCAUUACUCAUAUAUGCAGAUGAUAUUUUAAAUUCUUCCAGUUUUUUUUUAGGGAGGAGUAUUAAAACAUGAGUAAAAAUUAAUUUGUGGGCUCACUGACAAUGGGGUUUAAUUUGCAUUUUUAUCCUCAUUGAUUAGCACCAAGCCCAGAAGAACUUGUGUUCAUUAAGAACUUGUUGAUUGAGCAGCUAGAAAGGGGCUUGUCUUCCAUAAGGAGAUCUCUACUCUUGUGGGUUUUACUCUCUAGCAGAGGGACAUGAGCAACAGACAAUAAAAUAAAUAUUACAUGGUAUAUUUGAACAAUAUAAAUGCCACGAAAAUGAAAAAUAAAAGUGCAGAGCAAGGAAGAGAGAUGAGAAGGCCAACUGAGAUCUUAAAUGAAGUGGGGAUGGUGGGCCUCACAGAGAGGAGAUGACACACUUGAAGAAGGUGAAGGGGCAAGCACAGAUACUCUGGGGAAUGUGCAUUCCUGCCAGGACCAUCAGUGCUAAAGCCGUAAGUGGAGGUGUGCCUGGCACUUGCCAGGAAUAAUGAGGAAGGGGAGGUGGCAGAGGAGAGCUGAGCUGCCAGGAGAAUGGCACAGGACAUUGGAGGGCUGAUGAGGUCCAGAUGACAUGUGGCUUCACAAACCAUUGCAAGGAUAUGGCAUCUGCUCUGAGUCAAAUGGAAAUUUAUUGCAGGAUUUGAAAAAA